rnacentral:rRNA from 1 species
CCUACGGGAGGCAGCAGUGAGGAAUAUUUGUCAAUGGACUCAAGUCUGAACCAGCCAUGCCGCGUGCAGGAUGACGGCUCUAUGAGUUGUAAAAUGCUUUUGUACGAGGGUAAUAUCAGAUACGUGUAUCUACUUAAUAGUAUCGUACGAAUAAUGAUCGGCUAACUCCGUGCCAGCAGCAGAGGGAAUACUGAGGAUCCAAACGUUAUCCGGAUUUAUUGGGGUUAACGGGUGAGUAUGCGGUUUGAUAAGUUAGAGGUGAAAAUUCGGGGCUCAACUCCGGACGUGCCUCUAAUACAGUAUGACUAGAGAAUAGAUGCGGUAGGCGGAAUGUAUGGUGUAGCGGGGAAAUGCGUAGAGAUCAUACAGAACACCGAUUGCGAAGGCAGCUUACCAAACUAUAUCUGACGUUGAGGCACGAAAGCGUGGGGAGCAAACAGGAUUAGAUACCCUAGUAGUA